CUGGCGGCGUGCCUAUACAUGCAAGUCGAACGAGUUCUGAUUAUUGAAAGGUGCUUGCAUCUUGAUUUAAUUUUGAACGAGUGGCGGACGGGUGAGUAACACGUGGGUAACCUGCCCUUAAGUGGGGGAUAACAUUUGGAAACAGAUGCUAAUACCGCAUAAAUCCAAGAACCGCAUGGUUCUUGGCUGAAAGAUGGCGUAAGCUAUCGCUUUUGGAUGGACCCGCGGCGUAUUAGCUAGUUGGUGAGGUAACGGCUCACCAAGGCAAUGAUACGUAGCCGAACUGAGAGGUUGAUCGGCCACAUUGGGACUGAGACACGGCCCAAACUCCUACGGGAGGCAGCAGUAGGGAAUCUUCCACAAUGGACGCAAGUCUGAUGGAGCAACGCCGCGUGAGUGAAGAAGGCUUUCGGGUCGUAAAACUCUGUUGUUGGAGAAGAAUGGUCGGCAGAGUAACUGUUGUCGGCGUGACGGUAUCCAACCAGAAAGCCACGGCUAACUACGUGCCAGCAGCCGCGGUAAUACGUAGGUGGCAAGCGUUAUCCGGAUUUAUUGGGCGUAAAGCGAGCGCAGGCGGUUUUUUAAGUCUGAUGUGAAAGCCCUCGGCUUAACCGAGGAAGUGCAUCGGAAACUGGGAAACUUGAGUGCAGAAGAGGACAGUGGAACUCCAUGUGUAGCGGUGAAAUGCGUAGAUAUAUGGAAGAACACCAGUGGCGAAGGCGGCUGUCUGGUCUGUAACUGACGCUGAGGCUCGAAAGCAUGGGUAGCGAACAGGAUUAGAUACCCUGGUAGUCCAUGCCGUAAACGAUGAAUGCUAGGUGUUGGAGGGUUUCCGCCCUUCAGUGCCGCAGCUAACGCAUUAAGCAUUCCGCCUGGGGAGUACGACCGCAAGGUUGAAACUCAAAGGAAUUGACGGGGGCCCGCACAAGCGGUGGAGCAUGUGGUUUAAUUCGAAGCAACGCGAAGAACCUUACCAGGUCUUGACAUCUUUUGAUCACCUGAGAGAUCAGGUUUCCCCUUCGGGGGCAAAAUGACAGGUGGUGCAUGGUUGUCGUCAGCUCGUGUCGUGAGAUGUUGGGUUAAGUCCCGCAACGAGCGCAACCCUUAUGACUAGUUGCCAGCAUUUAGUUGGGCACUCUAGUAAGACUGCCGGUGACAAACCGGAGGAAGGUGGGGAUGACGUCAAAUCAUCAUGCCCCUUAUGACCUGGGCUACACACGUGCUACAAUGGAUGGUACAACGAGUUGCGAGACCGCGAGGUCAAGCUAAUCUCUUAAAGCCAUUCUCAGUUCGGACUGUAGGCUGCAACUCGCCUACACGAAGUCGGAAUCGCUAGUAAUCGCGGAUCAGCACGCCGCGGUGAAUACGUUCCCGGGCCUUGUACACACCGCCCGUCACACCAUGAGAGUUUGUAACACCCGAAGCCGGUGGCGUAACCCUUUUAGGGAGCGAGCCGUCUAAGGGGACAAANAUA
rnacentral:rRNA from 2 species